rnacentral:rRNA from 1 species
ACCCCACUAUGCCUAACCAUAAAUAGACCUUUACCACCCCUUACUUUGUUUAAGUCCGCCUGAGUACUACAAGCGCUAGCUUAAAACCCAAAGGACUUGGCGGUGCCCCAGACCCCCCUAGAGGAGCCUGUUCUAUAACCGAUAAUCCCCGUUAAACCUUACCAUUUCUUGCUUUUACCGCCUAUAUACCGCCGUCGUCAGCUCACCCCAUGAGGGCACAGAAGUAAGCAUAAAGGACUUCCUCCAAAACGUCAGGUCGAGGUGUAGCGAAUGAAGUGGAAAGAAAUGGGCUACAUUUUCUCUAAAGAAAAUACGGACAGUAAAAUGAAAAAUCACUUAUAAGGUGGAUUUAGCAGUAAGAAGAACUUAGGAUAUUUUUCUGAAGUCGGCUCUGA